CGAGGUUGGGGCAGCUGCACUCUCGCUCUUUGGUCUCGGAGCGGGACGGCCAGGCUGUCGCGUACGGCGAGAGAAUUCACCGGUGUCGUUCAAGAAAGAGAACUGUAGAAGCCCUGCUUUAAUGAGGCCCAUCUAUGCCAUGGUUUGAAGCACUCUCAUUUUCCUUUGAAGGAAAUGUCUUUGUUGGCAUGCAAAGAUAAGGAGCCUGUCAUAUUCUGCUGUUUAAAUUGAAUUGUCUGACUCCAUUUCAUGGGUCUUGGCGCCUUGGGCCUGAACUUGCUGCUGCUCUGGCCCCAGAAUGGCCAUGGCUGUGGUGUAUAACAGAGCAGGACGUGCUGCCUGGGGGAGGCUGAGUGUCCCCUUGUCCCUGGCAGAAAUCCUGUGCAUGGAGACUUGAAUCUUGCAGCAGGUGCUGGGACUUUGCUCUCUCUGACAGGGUGGGAGAAAGAGAUUUUGUUGUGAAUCCUGGGACAACACAGACCUGUGGGUGAACGGCUGAGUCUGUGCCCACCGUGACCCACCACGAGCCCCCCCAGCUCUGGGCUGCCAGAAUGGGAGCUGGCACAACCUCACUGCCAGCUGAGCUGAGCUCACCUGCUGUGAGCACGGGGGCUCUGGGUGCUGUCCUAAAGCUCUGCUGGCAACAGAGAGGGAAGGACUGGGGACACAUCUGGGAGCUUGAGCUCCUCCUGCAGGGAUCUUUCGUGUCCUGAAAUCACUGGGUUUGCUCCAUUUUGAAGGCUGUCAUGGAGGCACAGGAAAGAACUGUCCAUCUGAACUGCUAAAGAUGCAAAGUUCUUGCUUAAGAACCGUCUUAAUUGCUAAAGAUGUUUUUAAACAUCCAUCAGACAGCUGCUCCUGAGGAAAUGUGGCUCCCCAGGGAUCUGAGGCUGCAGUCCCAGGACUG